UGCUAGCGCGGCUACCAUGCAGUCGAGCGGAACGAGUUAUCUGAACCUUCGGGGAACGAUAACGGCGUCGAGCGGCGGACGGGUGAGUAAUGCCUAGGAAAUUGCCCUGAUGUGGGGGAUAACCAUUGGAAACGAUGGCUAAUACCGCAUAAUACCUUCGGGUCAAAGAGGGGGACCUUCGGGCCUCUCGCGUCAGGAUAUGCCUAGGUGGGAUUAGCUAGUUGGUGAGGUAAUGGCUCACCAAGGCGACGAUCCCUAGCUGGUCUGAGAGGAUGAUCAGCCACACUGGAACUGAGACACGGUCCAGACUACUACGGGAGGCAGCAGUGGGGAAUAUUGCACAAUGGGCGCAAGCCUGAUGCAGCCAUGCCGCGUGUGUGAAGAAGGCCUUCGGGUUGUAAAGCACUUUCAGUCGUGAGGAAGGUAGUGUAGUUAAUAGCUGCAUUAUUUGACGUUAGCGACAGAAGAAGCACCGGCUAACUCCGUGCCAGCAGCCGCGGUAAUACGGAGGGUGCGAGCGUUAAUCGGAAUUACUGGGCGUAAAGCGCAUGCAGGUGGUUUGUUAAGUCAGAUGUGAAAGCCCGGGGCUCAACCUCGGAAUAGCAUUUGAAACUGGCAGACUAGAGUACUGUAGAGGGGGGUAGAAUUUCAGGUGUAGCGGUGAAAUGCGUAGAGAUCUGAAGGAAUACCGGUGGCGAAGGCGGCCCCCUGGACAGAUACUGACACUCAGAUGCGAAAGCGUGGGGAGCAAACAGGAUUAGAUACCCUGGUAGUCCACGCCGUAAACGAUGUCUACUUGGAGGUUGUGGCCUUGAGCCGUGGCUUUCGGAGCUAACGCGUUAAGUAGACCGCCUGGGGAGUACGGUCGCAAGAUUAAAACUCAAAUGAAUUUGACGGGGGCCCGCACAAGCGGUGGAGCAUGUGGUUUAAUUCGAUGCAACGCGA
rnacentral:rRNA from 1 species